rnacentral:rRNA from 1 species
UACAGAGGUGGCAAGCGUUGUUCGGAAUUACUGGGCGUAAAGGGCGCGUAGGCGGCCAUCUAAGUCAGACGUGAAAUCCCUCAGCUUAACUGGGGAACUGCGUGUGAUACUGGAUGGCUUGGAUUUGGGAGAGGGAUGCGGAAUUCCAGGUGUAGCGGUGAAAUGCGUAGAUAUCAGGAGGAACACCGGUGGCGAAGGCGGGUCUCUGGGCCGAUACUGACGCUGAGGAGCGAAAGCGUGGGGAGCGAACAGG